rnacentral:rRNA from 1 species
AAUUUUAGGCUAUGGGCGCAAGCGUGAUCUAGCUUUUGGCGUGAGUUUGAAGGCCGGAGGGUGUAAAGCUCGUUCGCCUGUGAAGUUAAUUUCGGUAGCAGGUAAAGAUACUCAGGUUAACUUUCUGCCAGCAGCCGCGGUAUUACGGAGGGGGUUAGCGUUGUUCGUAAUUAGUGGGCGUAGAGCGCACGUAGGCGGACUAUUAAGUCGAGGGUGAAAUCCCAGGGUUCAACCCUGGAACUGCCUUCGAUACUGGUAGUCUUGAGUUCGAGAGAGGUGAGUGGAAUUCCGAGUGUAGAGGUGAAAUUCGUAGAUAUUCGGAGGAACACCAUUGGCGAAGGCGGCUCACUGGCUCGAUACUUACGCUGAGGUGCGAAAGUGUGGGGAACAAACAGGAUUAGAUACCCUGGUAGUCCACACCGUA